ACGUGAAACCUUGUGGGAAGCAGGGAGGACCACCUCCCAAGGCUAAAUACUACCUGAUGACCGAUAGUGAAGCAGUACCGUGAGGGAAAGGUGAAAAGAACCCCGGGAGGGGAGUGAAAUAGAACCUGAAACCGUGUGCCUACAACCGCUCAGAGCCCCUUAUGAGGGUGAUGAGGUGCUUUUUGUAGAACGAGCCAACGAGUUACGGUAUGUAGCAAGGUUAAGUACUUAAGGUACGGAGCCGAAGGGAAACCGAGUCUGAAUAGGGCGACUAGUUGCAUGCCGUAGACCCGAAACCGGGUGACCUAUCCAUGGCCAGGUUGAAGCGAGGGUAAAACCUCGUGGAGGACCGAACCACGUUGCUGUUGAAAAAGCAUGGGAUGAGCUGUGGAUAGCGGAGAAAUUCCAAUCGAACCCGGAGAUAGCUGGUUCUCUCCGAAAUAGCUUUAGGGCUAGCGUCGAGUAUGAGUAGUGGAGGUAGAGCACUGAAUGGGCUAGGGGGCAUAGCGCUUACCGAACCUUAUCAAACUCCGAAUGCCACAUACUUUGAGCUCGGCAGUCAGACUACGAAUGAUAAGAUCCGUGGUCAAAAGGGAAACAGCCCAGAUCGUCAGCUAAGGUCCCAAAGUGUAAGUUAAGUGGGAAAGGAUGUGAGAUUUCUAAGACAACUAGGAUGUUGGCUUAGAAGCAGCCAUUCAUUAAAAGAGUGCGUAAUAGCUCACUAGUCGAGAGAUCUUGCGCCGAAAAUGUAACGGGGCUAAACUUACCACCGAAGCUACGGGCUUGAACUUAGUUCAAGCGGUAGGAGAGCGUCGUAACCGGGCUGAAGUCGUACCGUAAGGAGCGGUGGACUGGUUACGAGUGAGAAUGUUGGCAUCAGUAGCGAGAUGUGGGUGAGAAUCCCACAGGCCGAAAACCUAAGGUUUCCUCAGGAAGGUUCGUCCGCUGAGGGUUAGUCGGGACCUAAGCCGAGGCCGAAAGGCGUAGGUGAUGGACAACUGGUUGAUAUUCCAGUACCACUACCAUCGUUAUUAUCGAUGGCGUGACGCAGGAGGAUAGUGUGUGCUAGCUAUUGGAUGCUAGUCUAAGCGUU
rnacentral:rRNA from 1 species